rnacentral:rRNA from 1 species
UACGUAGGGUGCGAGCAUUGUCCGGAAUUAUUGGGCGUAAAGAGCUCGUAGGCGGCCUGUCGCGUCGGAUGUGAAAGCCCGGGGCUUAACCCCGGGUCUGCAUUCGAUACGGGCAGGCUGGAGUUCGGUAGGGGAGAUCGGAAUUCCUGGUGUAGCGGUGAAAUGCGCAGAUAUCAGGAGGAACACCGGUGGCGAAGGCGGUUCUCUGGGCAUGUCCUGACGCUGAGGAGCGAAAGUGUGGGGAGCGAACAGG